rnacentral:rRNA from 1 species
GUCUAUAGCCAUGCCAUCCUGAACAAGCCCAAUCCCGUCUGAUCUUGGAAGCUAAGCAGAGUCGAGCCUGGUUAGUACUUGGAUGGGAGACCACCUAGGAAGAGCAGGUGCUGUAGGCG